UCUCUAAAAUAUAUUGGGUGUAUGGGCUUGGUUACUUUCUGCCGAACUCCGUCGAGUAAUUUUAAUUAUUCCUAAUCCUUUUCUUCUUUAUUUUUUUACAGAUGCAGGAGUCAAUGGUGUCGGAGAUGAUAGCAGCAGUAGCAUCUCAAGUUCGAUUGCCGACGAGAGAGGAGGUGCCCUGAAUCUAGUAACCGAUACGUCACUUCGACAUUCGCCUAAUGGUGAGGGUAGUCCUGUGGCGGGUAGCAAUCAAACAGCAAGCGUUCAAGCAGCUUUAGCGGCGCUGCAGGCUGGUCAGCUUUCUCUAAAUCAGCUGAUGAGCCUCGGUGCAGCACAAGGUCAAUCACUUCUACUCCAGAACCAGCUGUCAGGCGGUCUGCCGCUUCCAAACCUCUCUUCCCUGAACCCUCAGGAACUUUCAUCGCUUCAGCAAACGCUUCAGCAGCACCAGCACUCGCUUCAAACAGCAACUUCAGCAGUUCUGCCUCUUUCAACCCAACGCCGGCCAGCAGCUUCCUCCGCAGGCACAAUUCUUCCUACAAAAUCAGGGUGUUUUGCCUCAUAGGUUUCCUCCCCGACAGAACAUACCUCCUCCUCGCAGUACUACUCACUCUAUCCAGGUUUGCAUUCUUUCAUAUUCUAUUCUCUUCCUCGUUAGCUAUUGUAAUCACAAGAAAGUAGAGCAAACGUAGAUUUUUGAAUGCAUGACAAUAGUUAUAAAAUAUCAUACUUCAAUUCCUGUCUCCGAGUAAACUACGAUGCCCGCACGUCUAGGAACAAUAUUGUAAGGAAAAUUUUGCAGCAAUUGCUGCAAGCAAUGCAGCAAAUGCAGCAAUUUUGCCGCUCGAUUCAUCGCAUUUUAACAGAUUUUUUGACUAGCGUCGUUAUGAUUUUGCUAAUAGCAUGUUGGCUGCCCUGUUGAAUUUUACCUACAAUUAUGGUAGCACCGACUCUUAUAAGGACUUUAAGAAAACAAUUUUGACGGAGUCGUCAAAUUUUGCGUGCCGCGCAAUCGGCAAGCAUGAUGAUUCGAUCGCCAAUUUUUGCUAAUUACACUACACGCCAAAAUUUGCUGAAUCCGUCGAAAACCUUUACCUUGGCGAAUAUUGAAGUUCACUAUUUUUGUAAUUUAAUGAAAUCAUAAAGAGGCAAUGAAACCAAGCUGUUACGUGCAAUAUUACCGGAAUAUUUAAAAAAAAAUAUCGGGCAGGAUUCAAAAUGAAUUGUUUUUAUAUGCUUUCAAAACCUAGGAUUUCACUGAUGUACACGCCUUUAAAAUUUGGUCGCAUCCUAGUCUAGUCUUACUCCCGGCAAAAUUAUGUGUGGGAAAAUAACGUGUUGAGACGUUUUUCAUCUCGUAUUAAAGAAAGGUAAAAACUCUGAAGUAUUUCGAUGGCCACAGCGAGAAACCACGUAUCUCUAUUUUCGACGUUGCAGAUUCCUGUAAUACUUCUUUUGUUCUUUGGAAAACUACUCGACGUCAUUUUUUAAAACUUCCUCGAUUUUUCUUCUUUGUCGGCAAAAUAUUCGGCAUUAAUUUAAAGAUAUAAAGUUGACUUGUUUUUUUUUUAAAAAAAAAUACAUAAAAAAGGAUCGGAAAUUUUGGAACAAUGGAAUAGAGAUACAUAGUUUCGCACUUUAGCCAUCGAUUUACAGCA
rnacentral:lncRNA from 1 species